rnacentral:pre_miRNA from 1 species
UGCCCUAUCCGUCAGGAACUGUGGAUCACAAUACGCAGGACAGUUUCUGUCGGACCGGUUGCA